CCUGGCUUUGCUCCUCCUUUCUUUGGUCCUGAUCCCGUCAAUGAUAUGGAUUUUUCAGAACAGCCAGAAUGGCCCUCUCCAGAAUUUGUCACUCCUCCUUCUGAGGGAUAUUCAGAAACUGAACCACCACCUCCUCAGAUAUCACCUGAACUUGAACCUGGAAAUUCUUCUGAAACUUCACCAGUAGAGGCUUAGCAUUCCUGAACAGCUUACCUAGGAGUCCACUCAGAUCUGCCAGUCAGAGAUGCUGCAAAGAAAUGACAAUACGGAUCACAACACUUUCCAUCAGCCCAUUGCAAACCUCUCUUCAAAAUCAAGAACCAAACACAAAUUGCAGUUUGUUUAGUG